rnacentral:rRNA from 1 species
GCGCACGGGUGCGUAACGCGUAUGGAACCUGCCCGCACCAGGGGGACAGCCUGUGGAAACACGGAUUAAUACCCCAUGACGCAUAAGGCCCACAUGGGCCUAAUGCCAAAGGAGCAAUCCGGGUGCGGAUGGCCAUGCGUACCAUUAGCUAGUUGGCGGGGUAACGGCCCACCAAGGCAUCGAUGGUUAGGGGGUCUGAGAGGAUGAUCCCCCACACUGGCACUGAGACACGGGCCAGACUCCUACGGGAGGCAGCAGUAGGGAAUAUUGGGCAAUGGGCGGAAGCCUGACCCAGCCAUGCCGCGUGAGCGAAGAAGGCCCUCGGGUCGUAAAGCUCUUUUCUACGGGAAGAAAUGCAGGGUGCGCCCUACUGUGACGGUACCGUAAGAAUAAGCACCGGCUAACUCCGUGCCAGCAGCCGCGGUAAUACGGAGGGUGCAAGCGUUGUCCGGAUUUAUUGGGUUUAAAGGGUGCGUAGGCGGCCCAGCAAGCCAGCGGUGAAAGACCUGCGCUCAACGCAGGGCGUGCCGUUGGAAC